UGGUGUCUAAACAAUUGUAUCCAGAUACUCCU
rnacentral:piRNA from 1 species